rnacentral:ncRNA from 1 species
UAGAGGCGCGAGCGGCAUCAGUAGCGGCAAGGAGGACGCAGGGUCCGCCGAUGUGCCGCCAAAGGGGCGCCCGCCGAAGUGCCACGACACCUGCUGUCGCGGCGCUGGUCGCGAUCCGUAGGUGCCGAGGCGCCGACCGCGAAAGUAGCGUGACUGUCACCCGGCGGGUGGAGCGCUA